rnacentral:rRNA from 1 species
AUACGGAGGGUGCAAGCGUUAUUCGAAAUCACUGGGCGUAAAGGACGCGUAGGCGGGUUGGCAAGUCAGAUGUGAAAUCCUACAGCUUAACUGUAGAACUGCAUUUGAAACUGCUAACCUAGAGUAUGGGAGGGGGAGAUGGAAUUAGUGGUGUAGGGGUAAAAUCCGUAGAUAUCACUAGGAAUACCGAAAGCGAAGGCGAUCUCCUGGAACAUAACUGACGCUAAGGCGUGAAAGCGUGGGGAGCAAACAGGAUUAGAAACCCUAGUAGUCC